rnacentral:rRNA from 1 species
UACGUAGGUGGCAAGCGUUGUUCGGAAUUAUUGGGCGUAAAGAGCUCGUAGGCGGUUUGUUGCGUCGGCUGUGAAAUCCCGAGGCUCAACCUCGGGUCUGCAGUCGAUACGAGCAAACUAGAGUGUUGCAGGGGAGACUGGAAUUCCUGGUGUAGCGGUGAAAUGCGCAGAUAUCAGGAGGAACACCGGUGGCGAAGGCGGGUCUCUGGGCAACAACUGACGCUGAGGAGCGAAAGCGUGGGGAGCGAACAGG